UGGGCGUAAAGCGCGCGUAGGCGGCUUUGUAAGUUAGGGGUGAAAUCCCCGGGCUUAACCUGGGAACUGCGCUUGUGACUGCACGGCUAGAGUACGGCAGAGGGGGGUGGAAUUCCACGUGUAGCAGUGAAAUGCGUAGAGAUGUGGAGGAACACCGAUGGCGAAGGCAGCCCCCUGGGCCGAUACUGACGCUCAUGCACGAAAGCGUGGGGAGCAAACAG
rnacentral:rRNA from 1 species